rnacentral:rRNA from 1 species
UGCGUAACGCGUAUGCAACCUACCAUCAACAGGGGGAUAACACUGAGAAAUUGGUACUAAUACCCCAUAAUAUCUCAUGCGGCAUCGCAUGGGGUUGAAAACUCCGGUGGUUGAUGAUGGGCAUGCGUUGUAUUAGCUGGUUAGUGAGGUAACGGCUCACCAAGGCGACGAUACAUAGGGGGACUGAGAGGUUAACCCCCCACAUUGGUACUGAGACACGGACCAAACUCCUACGGGAGGCAGCAG